CAAUAAAAUCCUGUCCUGACUUACUGGAACUCCUAUCACAGCCUGGUGAGUGAAGACCUUCUUGGAGGAAUUCCUGUGCAGUUCGAAUCAACCCAAGAUGAUGAACCCUGAAGAUGGGACAAAAGGCCUGAAAAAGUGGCCCAGACGAAGCAAACUGUUCUCAAACCCUACAAUGCCCCAUUCUUCCAAGAUCACUGAGCUCACUGAGUUUGAAUGAAGGGGCGAGUAGAGCUGACAAAAUCAGAACUGAGGAGGAUUGUUACGGAGCCCCAUGAGGAAUACUUGAAUCUGCGCUGACUUCUCUCUCCUGGAUGCUCUCCUGCCCAAACUGUCCCGUUGUGUUUCACCACCUCUGAACCCCCUUAAGCAACUAGUGGCCCCUGAUCACAGAUCUAAGAUUGUACUCAAUCUCAAUUUCAACUCCAUCUCCCUCUAUCUCUUUGUCACUCUCUCCCCCACACACCCCACACACAGGCACACAUGAUAGUUUUUACGUUUGUGUUGUAGUG